rnacentral:rRNA from 1 species
UUCUUAAUGAAUUAUAAUUUUAAGUAACACCUGCUCAAUGAUUUAUUUAAAUAGCCGCGGAAAUUUAACCGUGCUAAGGUAGCAUAAUCAUUAGUCCUUUAAUUAAGGACUUGUAUGAAUGGUGAAACAUUUCAAUUACUUUAUUAAUUUAUUAUAUUUAAAUUAAACUAAGAAUAAAAAUGUUCUUAUUUUGAAAAAAGACGACAAGACCCUUUUGAACUUCACUAUUGUUUAGCUGGGGCAGCUAAAAAAGAAAAAUUUUAAUUAAUUUUUUUUUAAGUAAAUGACCCAAUAAAAUUGAUUAUUUGAUCAAGUUACCAUAGGGAUAACAGCGUAAUACUUUAUUUAAGUUCUUAUUUAAUAAAAAUGAUUGCGACCUCGAUGUUGAAUUAAUGUAACUUUAAUAAUGCAGUAAUUUUAAAAGUAGGUCUGUUCGACCUUUAAAACAUUACAU